CACAUCCCAUUAUAUUAAAUGGUUAUAUGGGUCCAGGACGUUUAUUAUAUUUCCUUUUUUUUUAGUUAAAGAUUAACGGGUUUUGGUCGUUGAAAAUUAAAUUCAAGAGAAACCUAGCUGACAGCUAGCAAAGCUGAACAGAAGGGAGUUACAAAAAUGGACUAACCUGGAACAUGGCCUGUAAAUAUAGCCUGUACAUACUCAUACUAGCUGUAGCUGUAAAUAGCACAUACUCCAAGAAAAAUAUUUGGUUGGCGUUACGGUUUAAAAAAAAUACGUUGGAACUUUCAUGCAAAGUCUUGAAUCCAAAUCUCUCGAUCAACUUUUACAGCACCCAUGAACAUUUGAUUGGACAGUGCCUUACAUUUCCUUCCGCCGAAUGUUAUUGUUUUCGGAAUUAUAGCAAAAUAGCUUUCGAUAAAUAUACAAAUGAAACCCUAUUGACGUUAUGGAGAUUACCUAACGUAAAUGGAAACUGGACAUGUCGUCAUGGAGUUAGUAGCAAUGAUCCAUCUGCAACAGUUGAUAUUUACCUAGGAAAUGUAUGUAAAGCAGAAGAGGGUUAUAGACAUGUUUCAGUUAUUGUCUUGUGUAUCGUAUUCGUCGUCAUACUAUUUUGUGUGUGUGUUUACAUCUGUAAAAGACGAACAUGUGUUAGAAGAAGAGAAGAAGGAUAUCCUGCAGAGAGGACGCAUUUAGAUGUUCCUGCAUAAUUGAUAAAAUGGCUCGACGAAUAUACCGGAGGAAAAUUAAAUACUUGAUUUUACAUAUCAAAAUUGCAAUUCUUUUGUUUAAGAACUAAUAUGAACAAGGUCAUGGAUAAAUUCCCAAAUAAGAAUUUAAAUCUUAAUCAUGUAAUAUUUUAAUAUAAGAAAUACCUUUACCGUUUUUUAUAGUAUGUGACCAAAAAAUGAAGAUUUUAUUUUAAAAGAGACAAUGAAAAUGCAAAUUAUAUAUAAUUAUUAUCGAAGCUAAAUUCAUAAGAUGAAAGUUGAAAAACAGUGAUACAAUGGAAGUAUAUACAUUGCUACGACUUUUUUGAUAGUUUUGAAAUGCUUGUUAGUUACACCAUGCGUGUUCCUUUUUCUCAAAUCGUCAUUGUUCCAUUAAAUAAUAUAAAACAUGUUCGAAUAUCUGUUCCUAAAAGUUAUUGAGUAUUUUCAUUCUAGUGCAAAACGUGAUUAGUUAUAAAACUGUUUUUCAUAUUUUUUUAAUGCGUUGUAUUGUACGUAGGUAUGUCAAUCAUAUAUUUCAAUACAGUGCAUUAACAAAAAAUUUCUCGGUGACCAUGCUUAAUCUUAGAAAUUAUUUCCUUUCUGCUACAUUGUACAGACCGUUAAACAUAAUUUAUUUUUAUACUACGCAUAGAAAAAUAUAAAGAAAUUCUUUUCCCACAGAAUUCAUUAGUUUUUUUCCUUAAAAUUCCUGCAUCAAGCGCAAAACACAAUGAUAUAUGGAUAUUUUCCAUUAUUUGAUGUGUUAUGCAUUCUUUUCAUUGAUGAAUUGCGGUUAUGCUAAAAUCAAAGUGAUAUUUAAUUAUGAUUAACGAUGUUCUUUUCUUUAAUAUUCAAUAUAACCCUUGAAUUAAAGCAUUCGUUAAAUGAAUACCAUUAUUUGCACACCCUUUGUUUGUCAAAUGAAAUGCCCAAUCUGUAGCAUAAACGGAACCAUUAAAUAAAAACACAUUGCUUAACUUAUAAACACAGAAAUCAGGUUAGACUUUUAACAUGUUCAAAAAUUGGCUACAUUUUGAAGACUUCUGUUGGUAACAUCAUGUAAUAACAAAGUAUCAUAUUAAGUAGAGGUAUUUGUCGUGAUAUAUUGCUAUCCCGGGAAGAAGUUUCAAUUAUUGCAAGUUUUAAGGGAAGUGUCCUUUUAAAUAGAAUCUCCAUGGCUUAAUAUGUUUUUUUUUCAAAAGAAAUGUUUGAAUAUUGGUUUGUUUGGACAAUUUAGUUGAUUAGGAAAUUGAAAACAUCGAAAUUUGAACAAAAAAAUGGUAUCGAAAUUAAAAACGAAUAUUUAAACAUUUUGUGGCAACUUAAGGGAUGAUUAUACUAAACUGAUCAAUCAAACCAAUUCCAGGUCUACUUUUCACUUGUUGUUGGUUACGAACGAAAUAUAAGCUGUUUUGUCAAAAAUGAUUAGACAGAAGCAUCGAUAAAAGCCAGAUUGUGACAUCAAUCUAUUAGAAUCCUAAAUUUCUAUAAUAAAUAAAAUAUCACAAGAAAAAAAUAUACAUGUCAAAAAUGUUACGUAAAUGAACAUACCACAUGGAUUUCUGAGGAUGAGUUUCAAUUGGUCGAUUUGAAGAAAUUCCUUCUUAGUAUUUGGUUUAUAUAUUUUAACUAAGCUAUUUUUUUCUUUUCUAUAAAUGAGCUUGGUGGACAAUCAAAAUUUUGAUAAUUGUAUCUGUAUCAGAGAUAUAUUUUUUUAUUUCUCAAUAAACAAAUAAUAUAAGGUAUAGCAUGUUGUAUUUCGAAAAACGAAACUCUAAAUCUUUCGACCCACUUUAAUCGUCUAUAAUGAUCUUAUGUUAACUUAUACAAUAAAGAAAUGUGGUAUGUACUCUUAAAAAGAUAUAACCUGAAACAGCAACUUUGACCUGAGGCAAACUUUAAAAACUGGAGAAAGGAUAUGUAACUCAUAUUCAGUCGUUCAAUCAAUUUUCAAAUUGCGGACAAUGUAAUACUUUUCGGACAUAUUAUUUUACAGCUGUUAAAUCUUUUUCAUAAUGCCAAUUGUCCAAUAUUUGCCUGCUUAACACUUACAAUUAUAAGGAUUGUAAACCCUAAGACAUAAAAUAUUACAAAAUACCCUACUCCAAGUUAAGGUAAAUUCAAAACGGGGGAGGUCCAAAGAAUUUGACAAAAUCAAACACUCGACUAUAUCAAUCAACGGAACAAAUUGGAAAACAACAGUCAUAUUCCUGACAUCGUACAGGCAAUUACAGGGGCGAAUGGUGAACUAAACCUGGGAUUAUAGCUAGUUAAACCUCCAACUUGUUUGACAAACGAUAUAAUUGGUGAAUGCGACAAUAAUUGGGAUAUAGCAGCCAAAACUAUGUAAAUAUACAUUACAGAUAUACAGCACAAGUAACUUAAGCAUUAAAUAACAUUAAACGUAGUAGCAAUACUUUAAAAUUGUCCGUUUUAAAUAUUUUUAUAUUUGAAUCGGCUUUUUGAGAUUCUGAUUCCAGCGGCGCCACUGAUGAGUCUUAUGUAGACGAAACACUGGCCUAAUGAAUCAAAUUAUAAGUUUGGUAUCUUUGACGAGUUUUUCUUAAAAACUAUAGAUACUGAUUCUAAUGCAACAACGUUUGCAACGUUCAUUUUGAUUAGAUAACGUCACAAAUUUUCAUGGCAUCAAUUCACAAUUGAUGCUACGAAAACGUACACGCAAACGCAGACGACGUAUGACAUGUUUUAAAUGUACGAUCUGACGUUAUUUACUGUCAGUUACAUUAAAAUGUUGAUAAAAAUAUUAAAUUGUAAGCUCCGACGCUAUCAAUUGGAGAUUUGAUGGUCGCAAAUACCCCGUUUACUGGCUCCGCUAACGCGUAGCCAGUAAACUUAAUUUGCGACCAUCAAAUCACCAAUUGAUGCCGUCGGAAUUUAAAAUACAAUACAGUUAUAUCCUAAUUCGUCGGAAAUUGACUGAAAAUGACUUGAUUUUUUAAAAAGAUUAAUGCUGCUUCAACAUAAUCAAUUUAAAGAAUACAAUUGAUGUUUCAGACAAUAAAUUAUUGACUCG